rnacentral:rRNA from 1 species
AUACGGAGGAUCCGAGCGUUAUCCGGAUUUAUUGGGUCUAAAGGGUGCGCAGGCGGCCAUUUAAGUCAGCGGUUAAAUCGUGGGGCUCAACCCCAUUCUGCCGUUGAUACUGGGUGGCUUGAUUGCGGUCGAGGUUGGCGGAAUUCGUUGUGUAGCGGUGAAAUGCAUAGAUAUGACGAAGAACACCGAUUGCGUAGGCAGCUGACCAGACCGCAAAUGACGCUCAUGCACGAAAGUGCGGGGAUCGAACAGGAUUAGAUACCCUGGUAGUCCGCACAGUAAACGAUGAAUACUUGUUUUCGGCGAUAUAAUGUCGGAGGCAAAGCGAAAGCGAUAAGUAUUCCACCUGGGGAGUACGCCGGCAACGGUGAAACUCAAAUGAAUUGACGGGG